rnacentral:pre_miRNA from 1 species
UGUUAAAAAUUUCAUUCAUACGUAUUGUUAAAAACUAGUGACUAGAUAAUGAUACAUGGUGUGUCACAUGUGUAUCAUGAUGAUGUACAUGGACCAAAUUUUAACAGUAUAAAUGAAUGAAUUUUUUAAUA